GACGAACGCUGGCGGCGUGCCUAAUACAUGCAAGUAGAACGCUGAAGGAGGAGCUUGCUCUUCUGGAUGAGUUGCGAACGGGUGAGUAACGCGUAGGUAACCUGCCUGGUAGCGGGGGAUAACUAUUGGAAACGAUAGCUAAUACCGCAUAACAGUAGAUGUUGCAUGACAUUUACUUAAAAGGUGCAAUUGCAUCACUACCAGAUGGACCUGCGUUGUAUUAGCUAGUUGGUGGGGUAACGGCUCACCAAGGCGACGAUACGUAGCCGACCUGAGAGGGUGAUCGGCCACACUGGGACUGAGACACGGCCCAGACUCCUACGGGAGGCAGCAGUAGGGAAUCUUCGGCAAUGGAUGGAAGUCUGACCGAGCAACGCCGCGUGAGUGAAGAAGGUUUUCGGAUCGUAAAGCUCUGUUGUAAGAGAAGAACGAGUGUGAGAGUGGAAAGUUCACACUGUGACGGUAUCUUACCAGAAAGGGACGGCUAACUACGUG
rnacentral:rRNA from 1 species